UUGGUGCAGCACGAGAGAUUUUAUUUCCAGUAGAGAGAGAGAGCUGUUCUGGAGUUUGUUUUGGUUGCCUUUGUCUUGUCUGCCUGCUAUCCCUUCCUGCUGUUUCCAUCCACUUACCUUUUUCCGGGGAGAAAAGAUAGGCACCAUGAUCUUACCUAGUAAGCUACACAGGACCCCAAAUGUAAAACUUCCCUGCUCAUACCUGCCCUGCUCUGAGGAGGGCAAUUGUUGGGAGUGUUAUCCACUGGUUGUAGUUAAGAAGUCAGAUCUCAACUUCAUUCUUAACAUUUAGAUCUUCGACCGACGAGGCAGAAACGUUGGUCUGCCACCCAAAGCUGCUGGCCUCAGUAAUGAGGAUGGAGAACCGUGAAGAUUGGUUCAUGUUUUGGACCAAACUGUAUGCUGAUGAUGGAGAUGCGUAUUGUGAUAUCAUGCCCAUGCCUUCCAGCCCUGUUAGAUGACACACUGGUGACCACAGAUCUGGGUUCACUGGUCAGUCAUGCACCGCCCAGGCGGACCCAAUCUGGGGUUCUUCUGACCAUCUGUUCCUCAGACCGGCAGCACUGCCCAGCUACUGUUCCCUCCAAGAUGCCAUGUUUUCUGUUAUUAUUUAGCUGUAUGCUAAACAUUGUCAAUGAUGUACAUUUCCAAGUAACUGUCCGCAAAUAAAAUCAAAAUGCAACAGUGCUCCUAAAAUUUCCAAUUGCCCAAUACACAACUUUAUUUAACUGUUUAGGAAUUUUGCUUCAAAUAUUGGAAAUAUGUACAAAACCAAAUCUGUCAUUCAUUAUAACAGAUAUUAUAUAACAGAGUGCUUUCUGGCCAGAAUUUUUCUGAAGAAUACUCAGGCAGCACAAACAUUUUCAAUCUCUCCUAUAAUGUUGAAUAUGUGACCUCUUUAUGAUACAAUCCUUGAGAAACAAUUAUAAUGUUGUUUUAUUUCAAACCAGCCGUGUGAUGAAACCACAGAACAAUUUCUUUUUGAUUUGGAGGACAGGUCUUCAACUCUCUAGAACCUGCUGAGGGGACGAUGCAGCAAGCUGAGGCCAUAAUUGCAAUAUAAGC